rnacentral:rRNA from 1 species
UACGAAGGGUGCAAACGUUGCUCGGAAUUAUUGGGCGUAAAGAGCUCGUAGGCGGCUUGUCACGUCGGGUGUGAAAGCCCGGGGCUUAACCCCGGGUCUGCAUUCGAUACGGGCUGGCUAGAGUGUGGUAGGGGAGAUCGGAAUUCCUGGUGUAGCGGUGAAAUGCGCAGAUAUCAGGAGGAACACCGGUGGCGAAGGCGGGUCUCUGGGCCGAUACUGACGCUGAGGAGCGAAAGCGUGGGGAGCGAACAGG